CCACAACUCUGAGUUGAUCUACUCUGAGAUAGAAAACUCUGAGUUUUCGGUUUCACAACGGCUGAUAUGAGUUGGUUUAAUUAACUCGGAGUAGUUUGAACCGGAGUUACGCGCGUGCACCGCAAGUCUGAAAAGACAGCAUCAAUGGAACCCCGAUUCGACGAGUCACCAUGGAAACGGGGAAGCGAAAGGCUGCGUUUUUGAACUGGAAGUUUUUAACGCGCUCAUAUGGCGAGUUUGAAGAUGUUUUUAGAAAGAAGUGCAACACCGCUGCAGCUGAAAAAGAGAGAGAGACGGCGUGGAGAACAGCCCGGAUCAAUGCAGCAUGGCUGGACAGCAGCAGGAUGGUUCCUCAGCUUCCACUGCACAGACUGACACAGUGAGAUGGAUGUUCAGGAAACACCAGAGCUUCAUUCUGUGGAAUUCAUGUGCAACUGUAUAAUUUAAUGUCCUCUAUGUAUUCCCAGUUAUCAGUAAAACAGAUUUACAAACUGCAUUUGCUGAGAAAAAUCCAAAAAACAGAUUAGGAGGACAGAUCUGGAAAUUGAAAUACUGGAGCACAAGUUAGAGGUGGUGAUGGUCACAGGAGAAUUAUGUUAACUACUGGAACAUGAACUGAACUAUCUUUUAUUUGUAGGAAAUAAAGAAGAGCAAAUGAAA